GGGGCAGCGUCUGCUCACUGGUGUUAGUCGGAGAGCACUGUCUGCUCACUGGUAUUAGACCAACCACAAUGCUAGUGUAUUUUAGGAGCUCAAUAAAUACUUGUUGCAUGAAAGAUUCCAGAAUAAAAUAAACAAAAAUUUUGUCUACAUAAUUCAUUUUUUAAGGGAUUUUAAAUACUUAACAAAAACCAAAACAAAUUUUUAAAAAAGCUGCUCUGUAACGUGAACUGGAAACGCACAGCAGGACAAUGUGAAAGGCAGGUGCAGUGAUGCUUCGGGCACACUGCAGCCGACUCCCUGAACACCUCAUCUGCACUAUCUGACGCCCUUUGGUUUUCCUGUAUCAUCACCUACCCAGAAACAAGCCAUAUCACUCUCACCAGAACUCACAAUGCAUGGCCCACCGCAGGCUCUUGAGAAGAUGUCGAUCAAGUGCAUGAGCGAAAGAGGAGCCCUAGUGAUAUCGUGUAUCAUCAGACCAACUGUUGUGAGAACUAACGUUCAUCACGCCAGUCUCCUGCUCUAGAAUCUAUAAAAAGUUCUAACCUUCA